UUUCCAUCUCCUAAAACCCUCCUUAAACCCAUAAAUUCUUCUAAAUUCACUUCUUUUCCUUUCUUUAAUCUCUCUACUUCAUCCAAUUUCAAGCAUUCUCCUCUUACUCUUCACUGUUUCAGUUCAGAUGAAUACCCAGUAGGUGAUGACGACGCGUUUCUCGAAGCUUUUGGACCCAAAGAGAAAGAAUCCGAAGAAGAAGCCCGGCGCAGGAACUGGGUCGACCGUGGUUGGGCUCCAUGGGAAGAA
rnacentral:misc_RNA from 1 species